GCUCUCAUAGCUCAGUGGUUUUUAGAGCAUCUGACUUUUAAUCAGAGGGUCCUGAGUUCGAUUCUCAGUGAGAGUA
rnacentral:tRNA from 1 species